rnacentral:lncRNA from 12 species
CAACGCUGAAUUCCUCCUUUUUCGUGUUGUUUGGGAGGAAAGAGCAGGGUGCGCGACUCCCUCGAGCUCCCUUCCCCAGAGCUGUUUCUAAUAAGGGCUGUAAAAAGGAGUUUGGUCUCUUGGCCCGUUUUAUCACAGCCGCGCCCACGGCUUCCCGCCAUAGAGCCCUGAGGGCUCCGUUCCCGCCCGCCCCUCAGAGGGCAGCGAGUCUGAAACGAUCUUAAUUUGUGUUAAUUCUGUCAUCAGGGGACAGCUAAUGGUACCUGGCUGCUGGCGACACUUAGCUGCUUCUGGAAAAAAAAAAAAAAAAAGGGGGGGGGGGGGGGGGGGGGGGGGGGGGGGGGGGGGGGGGGGGGGGGGGGGGGGGGGGGGGGGGGGGGGGGCUUCUGGAAAAAAAAAAAAAAAAAAAAGGCGUCAUGAACAAAGCAAUUUGGAAAUUCGCUGUUCCUGGAGUAUCCAAGACAUUUGAGUACAGAAUGUUGCACUCAUCUGCAGGAGAAUAAAAUGGGAAUCAACAUCUGAA